ensembl:lncRNA
UGUAUUUUCAGGACCUCGAAUACCGUUGUUAUCUUAGGUUUAAGUCACGCCACCGCAUACGGAGGCCGCCAUCUUGGAUCCUUCGCGCUAUUACGUUACGGCGUCACUUAGCACCCCCUGUUGGUGACCUAGUUUGCUACCGGUACCACUACUAUCCAUGCUCCAUCUCCUGGAUGUUCGGUGGUAUUACAAGUCCCAUGUAGCCCCCAUGCACCGGCGACUUCUUCCCCCUGUACAAUUGCUGUUGAUGUUGCCAAACAUGUAAAUGAGGACACUAUUAAUGUUGGAACCCUAUUUACGGUCACAUUGAUACACAAUUUGUUGUUUCGGGACACGCUCUCUCCCUGAGAGGUUUUCCUACCAGGUGCUGACCUUCCUACUGCGUUCAAUCAAUGCGACUAUGUUGUUUUAUGUUGUUUUUAUUCAUUUUAUUGUAUUCCAUCACGGUUCUUACCUAUGUACACUUAAUACCACCUGGUUUAAGGGCAAUUGGCGACCUCUGCUGGAGACUCUGAUAUCAAGGAACAACACUUUGCAACAUUGUUUCAAUCGCUCAGCAUUACACUUGAAAAUCCGACCCCCUGAUUGGCCCAAAUUCAAAUUCUUAUUCUUAUUCUUUGUUUACCCUCCUGGCCCCCAUUGGCUCUGCACCUGACCCCCCCAUUGGAUCCCCACCCUAAAUUUUGAAUUUGUUAUGAUGCCCGGCCCCCAUUGGAUAACUCUGCCCCAGACGUUAACUCUACCCCUCCCUCUCAUAUCUGUGUAUAAAAGUAUUAGUCUCUGUCUGUCCCAUUUGUGCUUUGUAACCGCGGCUUGAUUGGAUUUUCUUCUAUACGGUCUGUCUCUAUUGCUGUAAAAUUGCACCUGAUGAAGUCAACAAAUUUGACGAAACGUCGUGCUUUGCUCUCAGCAGCCUAAUUCCUAAAAAUAAAAAAGGAUAUCGGCUGGAUCACACUUGUCUAGUUUUUUCGAAACGAAACAAAAAAUACCUUACAGUCUUAGCAUAGAUACUUUUCCAGUAUUUUUGAAUUCCGA